rnacentral:rRNA from 1 species
AGGAAGAUUAAUACCCCAUAAUAUAUAGAGUGGCAUCACUUUAUAUUGAAAACUGAGGUGGAUAAAGAUGGGCACGCGCAAGAUUAGAUAGUUGGUGAGGUAACGGCUCACCAAGUCGAUGAUCUUUAGGGGGCCUGAGAGGGUGAUCCCCCACACUGGUACUGAGACACGGACCAGACUCCUACGGGAGGCAGCAGUGAGGAAUAUUGGACAAUGGGUUAGCGCCUGAUCCAGCCAUCCCGCGUGAAGGACGACGGCCCUAUGGGUUGUAAACUUCUUUUGUACAGGGAUAAACCUAUUUACGUGUAAAUAGCUGAAGGUACUUUACGAAUAAGCACCGGCUAACUCCGUGCCAGCCGCCGC